rnacentral:rRNA from 1 species
AUUGAACGCUGGCGGCAUGCUUUACACAUGCAAGUCGAACGGUAACAGGUUAAGCUGACGAGUGGCGAACGGGUGAGUAAUGCAUCGGAACGUGCCCGAUCGUGGGGGAUAACGCAGCGAAAGCUGCGCUAAUACCGCAUACGAUCUGAGGAUGAAAGCGGGGGACCGUAAGGCCUCGCGCGAUCGGAGCGGCCGAUGUCAGAUUAGGUAGAUGGUGGGGUAACGGCUCACCAAGCCAACGAUCUGUAGCUGGGCCGAGAGGACGACCAGCCACACUGGGACUGAGACACGGCCCAGACUCCUACGGGAGGCAGCAGUGGGGAAUUUUGGACAAUGGGCGAAAGCCUGAUCCAGCAAUGCCGCGUGCAGGAAGAAGGCCUUCGGGUUGUAAACUGCUUUUGUACGGAGCGAAAAGGCCCUCUCUAAUACAGGGGGUUUAUGACGGUACCGUAAGAAUAAGCACCGGCUAACUACGUGCCAGCCGCCGCGGUAA